AUUACAUAAUAUAUUUCGUACUUAAUCCUUCCCCGUUCUGCCGUGCCGGAGCUCAUCACCGACGGCAGCGGAACUCCUACAAACACGACCUCCACACGGCCAAACUCACUGCGAUUCCCUUAAUCCAAAUCCACUGUUGAUCCAACCUAAUCUCUAUUUGAAAACGCAAACCGAAGCAAAAGUUCUCACGGGUCCUAGAUUGAAUAUUCCCAAAUCCGGUCCUCAUACGAAGGUAAUUGAGGCUACAAGUUUGGGAGAAUCAUCCACUGGAUCCAUAUUUACACAAUGCUAAUCAACGCGAGUCAAAUCGGAGGAGUUUCACAUACCUUCAUCGUCGACGGUGAAGCACGCGGCGGACGGCGUUUGGAUAUUGAUUCAGUACAAAACAACCGCUUAUCUGCUCUCCUAUUCUUCUUCUACUCCAAUCUUCCUCGUCGUUCUCUGGUACUUUGAAUCGUGGCGCUUACGUAUCUUGACUUGUAAUCGUGGAAGGCGCGGUUCGAUUGUUGGAUUCGAGAAGAUUCACUGAAGCAAGGGACACCAUGGAUUGAGGACGGAAUCAAGGUCCAGAAAGAAACAACCAAUGAAUUCGCCGGCAAAGACGACUGGCGCAACGACAACGUUAAUGGAAGUUCGUCUCAGGGUUCUGCCAAGAGUUGGUGAGGGUGAAGAGAGGGAUUGGAGUUCGGUGAGGGUGAAGGUUGCAGGGAGAAGCUCGAUUGAAGGUGAUGAAUAAUGGAAUGGGCUUGGUUGAAGGUGGUGAAAAGAUGAAAUCAGAGUGAAGAUAGAAGGUGACGAGAAGAUGGAAAAAAACCGACAGCCUUCUGAACUGUGAAGGUUUAUGUUAGACAUUGUUUAGAUAGUGAGAUGGUUCGUUAUGUUAGCUAUGAAUUAUGUUGGUUUAGUUAUGGAAGGGUCAUGGCUGCAGCUGCAAAUUGGUGUUGCCGUUUUGAGUCAUUUCGGUUGCGUUUCGGUGUUGUGCUGCUGCUGGAUGGUUUGCGUUUACGGUUGGUUUAUGGAAUGGCUCUUGUACGCGUUUGCAAUGGUGUGGCUGUCGUUUAGAGCUUGUGCCGCAUUUGUUGCAGCAGGCUUGUACGUCAUAGCUGGCUGGUAGCUUUAGGCUCUUCUUCAAAUUGUUUUUUUCAUUCCAUUUUAACUGGAUGUAAAAUAUUAUUAGUUUAUGUAUGUACAUUUGGAUAUGAAUGGAUUUUUAUGCAUUGUGAAUGGAUAAUGGAUAA